AUUGAACGCUGGCGGCAGGCCUAACACAUGCAAGUCGAACGAGUGGCGGACGGGUGAGUAAUGUCUGGGAAACUGCCCGAUGGAGGGGGAUAACUACUGGAAACGGUAGCUAAUACCGCAUACCAUCGGAUGUGCCCAGAUGGGAGUAGCUAGUAGGUUGGGUAACGGGUCACCUAGGGGACGAUCCCUAGCUGGUCUGAGAGGAUGACGAGGGACACUGGAACUGGGACAGGGGCCAGAUGCCUACGGAAGGCAGCAGUGGGGAAUAUUGCACGAAGGGCGCAAGCCUGAUGCAGCCAUGGCGCGUGUAUGAAGAAGGCCUUCGGGUUGUAAAGUACUUUCAGCGAGGAGGCGUUACUCGCAGAAGAAGCAUCGGCUAACUCCGUGCCAGCAGCCGCGGUGAUAC
rnacentral:rRNA from 1 species